AUUGAACGCUGGCGGCAGGCCUAACACAUGCAAGUCGAACGAGUGGCGGACGGGUGAGUAAUGUCUGGGAAACUGCCUGAUGGAGGGGGAUAACUACUGGAAACGGUAGCUAAUACCGCAUACCAUCAUAUGUGCCCAGAUGGGAUUAGCUUGUUGGUGGGGUAACGGCUCACCAAGGCGACGAUCCCUAGCUGGUCUGAGAGGAUGACCAGCCAAACUGGAACUGGGAAACGGUCCAGAAUCCUACGGGGGGCAGAAGUGGGGAAUAUUGCACAAUGGGCGCAAGCCUGAUGAAGCAAUGCGGCGUGUAUGAAGAAGGCCUUCGGGUGGUAAAGUACGUUCAGCGGGGAGGCGUUACCCGCAGAAGAAGCACCGGCUAACUACGUGCCAGCCGCCGCGGUAAUUC
rnacentral:rRNA from 1 species